rnacentral:rRNA from 1 species
UACGUAGGGGGCAAGCGUUGUCCGGAUUUAUUGGGCGUAAAGGGUGCGUAGGUGGCGGGGUAAGUCAGGUGUGAAAUCUCGGAGCUCAACUCCGAAACUGCACUUGAUACUGCCUUGCUCGAGUACUGGAGAGGAGAUUGGAAUUUACGGUGUAGCAGUGAAAUGCGUAGAUAUCGUAAGGAAGACCAGUGGCGAAGGCGAAUCUCUGGACAGUUACUGACACUGAGGCACGAAGGCCAGGGGAGCAAACAGG